rnacentral:tRNA from 1 species
GCCUGGCUGGUUGAGUUGGUAGAACACUUGGCUCUUAAUCACAGGGUUGUGAGUUCGAACCCCACGUUGGGCA